UCUAAUUAUAAAAUCCAACAGCAAACAGCCAAUCAGAAUGCCGCGUUCGUGGGCGAACGCGGAAAGUACAAAAUACCGGGCCUUGCUUGCAGGCCCACUACCAGUUCCAUAGAGAUCAGUUCCCUUGGGCCUGCACGCGGGCUAAUAUCGUUCAUGCAUGCGUUACUUACCAGUCUUUCUUUUUCUCUUCUUUCUGCCGUGAGCUCCUCCAUCAAUGCUCGAUUCU